AUGAUAGGAUUGUCAUCGUUAACGUCAAUAACAUCACAUCACAUCACCAGUGAAUCCCAGGAUGCCUUGGAGUCAGAGAACCAGAGGCUGCACGAAUGCUGCCUGACCUUGGAGGCGGAGCUCCUGGAAAAGGAGGAGGGGCUGUGUCAGAAGGGGGAGGAGCUGCAGCGGUUGGAGGCUGAGUCGGCUCAGAACAUGGAGGAGCUGAGGGGUGUGGCCUCACACUGGAGCGAGAAGUGGCAGGAUGUGGCUAUGGCAUUACAAUCCACCCAGGCAGAACUAGAGGAACUCAGAGAGAAGAACCCUGGAGAUACACUUCAAGAGGAGGUGGUACGGCUGAAGGUGGAGGUUGAGAGACUUCAGACACAGGGACAGAGAGACAAGGAAGAGAUUCAGACUCUUCAUCAGCACUGGGCCAGUAAAGAGGCGGAGCUGAGCAGAGUCAUUAAAGAUGCCGGUUCUCUGCUGAAGGUAGAGCUGAACGCUUGUAAACAACAGUUGGAGCUGGAGAGGAGCCGGACUCGGGCUCUACACAACAGACUCAAAGUUAAAGACAACCCUCAUAUCUUGGGUAGGGGAAUGGUAGAAACGUUUGAUAAAGGGACAGAGACAGAUAUACUACCACAGACACGGGAUGAACAGGUCUCGCUGGAGGAGCUGGGCCAGGUGAGGGAAGAGCUACUGAUGGUCUCCCUGGAGGAGGUGGAUGGGGGCCAGGUGUCACAGCUAAAUAGUGAACUUCAGAGGCUGGAGCUGGAAGUGGCAGAGAGAGAAGAGCACCUGAGGGAGAAGGAACAUGCUCUGAGGAGUCUGGAGAGACUGAGAGAUGCCGAGAGGACAGAGACGCAAAUCAAGGUUUCUACACUGGAGUUGAAGUUGAUUAACCUAAAGGAGCAGGCCGGUGGAGAAGGCCUAUGUCAUGGAGGCCAAGAACAAGCUCAGCACACUGACUCACUGAGGUCUCAGCUAGAGGAGAGCAGGAGGAGAGCCAAUCAGCUGCAACAGGAGAGAGACCAGGCAGUUCAGAGGCUACAGACUCUCCGCCGGCUAUAUCAGGCUACGGAACAGAAAGCAGCUGCUGGCAGCAAGAAAGAGAAAACGGUUUGUGUGGAUAACAUAGUGAACCAGGAUAAACAGAGAAGACUGGUAACAGAACAGCUGAAGAGUCUAUUUAAGGAGCGUGAGCAGUUGGGUCAGGUCUAUGGAGGAGGAGGAGGAGGAGGAGUUCUGCAAGACUGGGCACCGAAGUCGAAGGUCAUCAAGAACUGCCUUGACACACUACACAGCCAGAGGAAGAGAGAGAAGGAGCUGAUGAGGGAGCAGCAGCAGUUUGCAGGACUGGGGCCUGUGUCUGAGGAGCAAGAAGAGGAGGACGACCCAGAGAGGGAGGUGGAGGAGGAGGUGACUCGCCUUAGGGAGGAACUCCACAGCAAGACCCACGCGCCAAGCUAAGGUUUCAGCCACAGAUCCAAGGGUUGGGCGCCACAGCGUCUAACUCUUCAGAGAAGACCACGUCAGAGAGCGAGGAGCCUCUUCUAUUGGAGAGAGACAUGCAGAGGGGAUCAUCAUCAUCAUCAUCACCACCACCCCGCUGGGAAGAUGGAGUGUUCCUGGCUAGGCAGGUGCAGAUCGGCAGCCCUGAAUUGGAGGGGGAGGAAGAGGAAGAUGGAGGCUGUGGCUGAUGCAUACCUGGUCCUAAUUUGCUCCCUACCCCUUCCCCUUGGCCCUUAACCACUUCAAGGUUGUCAGAUCUGAAGCAUCUAUAUACGUAGAAGCAGUAUUGUUGUAGAGCUUCCACCAUAUUGCUUCCACCAUAUUGCUUCCACUAUCCUACAGAUCUGCAAACAUUGAAGCUAAUGGAUCCAUCUUCGUGUGAAGUCUUACUAUAGUCAUGCAAUGAUACAAAUCCUAAAAAGGUUGUACAAACCAGUGUUAACGUCAAUCUACUGAUUAGUGGUUAUAAAUGUGGUGCUUUUGUUGAUGAUUUAACAAUGAAACAGGAAGUGAAAUGUGUUCCAUUGAUAAUAGUGAGAUGACGACAACAGAGGAUGAUUUUCUGUAAUACGCCUACGCUAUAUAAGCUAAUGAUCCACAUAUAGGGCUGUGUAAUAGUAGUAAGGUGGCUAAUACAUUAAAACUACAAUGUUACCACAUACAACACAAACAUUCUGGAGGUUUGUGAUUUGCCAAUUUUGUUGUAAUUAAAAAAAUGAUUGCGUUAACUCACAUGAUUGUUUGCAAUUGAUUUAGAAUGAGAACGAUCUGUCAUCCAACUCCCUGAAUAAGGACAAAUGUAAGAUCUCAUUAGUCUUGAGUUGAACAACACUUUUUAUUUCAGAUAAUGUACAACUCACAAAGCUACAAAAAUAAUUGUAUGCAAGUGUAAUCCACUCGUAUGAUAUGAGGCCUUAUUCAGUCGGGAGAACAAGUAUUUGAUAACCUGCAAAAUCGGUAGUGUUUCCUACUUACAAAGCACGUGUACCUAUGAUAAAAAUGACAGACCUCUACAUGCUUUGUAAGUAGGAAAACCUGCAAAAUCGGCAGUGUUGUCAAAUACUUGUUCUCCCCACUGUAUAUAUGGGGAUAUAUAUAUAUAUACACACACAGUGGGGCAAAAAAGUAUUUAGUCAGCCACCAAUUGUGCAAGUUCUUCCACUUAAAAAGAUGAGAGAGGCCUGUAAUUUUCAUCAUAGGUACACUUAGACUAUGACAGACAAAAUGAGAGAAAAAAAAUCCAGAAAAUCACAUUUGUAGGAUUUUCAAUUAAUUUAUUUGCAAAUUAUGGUGGAAAAUAAGUAUUUGGUCACCUACAAACAAGCAAGAUUUCUGGCUCUCACAGACCUAUAACUUCUUUAAGAGGCUCCUCUGUCCUCCACUCGUUACCUGUAUUAUUGGCACCUGUUUGAACUUGUUAUCAGUAUAAAAGACACCUGUCCACAACCUCAAACACUUGCACUCCAAACUCCACUAUGGCCAAGACCAAAGAGCUAUCAAAGGACACCAGAAACAAAAUUGUAGACCUGCACCAGGCUGGGAAGACUGAAUCUGCUAUAGGUAAGCAGCUUGGUUUGAAGAAAUCAACUGUGGGAGCAAUCAUUAGGAAAUGGAAGACAUACAAGACCACUGAUAAUCUCCCUCGAUCUGGGGCUCCACGCUAGAUCUCACCACGUGGACUCAAAAUGAUCACAAGAACGGUGAGCAAAAAUCACAGAACCACACGGGGGGACCUAGUGAAUGACCUGCAGAGAGCUGGGACCAAAGUAACAAAGCCUACCAUCAGCAAGGGCAUUGAAGAUGAAACGUGGCUGGGUCUUUCAGCAUGACAAUGAUCCCAAACACACCACAAGGGCAACGAAGGAGUGGCUUUGUAAGAAGCAUUUCAAGGUCCUGGAGUGGCCUAGCCAGUCUCCAGAUCUCAACCCCAUAGAAAAUCUUUGGAGGGAGUUGAAAGUCUGUGUUGCCCAGCAACAGCCCCAAAAUAUCACUGCUCUAGAGGAGAUCUGCAUGGAGGAAUGGGCCAAAAUACCAGCAACAGUGUGUGAAAACCUUGUGAAGACUUACAGAAAACAUUUGACCUCUGUCAUUGCCAACAAAGGGUAUAUAACAAAAUAUUGAGAUAAACUUUUGUUAUUGACCAAAUACUUAUUUUCCACCAUAAUUUGCAAAUAAAUUCAUAAAACAUCCUACAAUGUGAUUUUCUGGAUUUUUUUUCUCAUUUUGUCUGUCAUAGUUGAAGUGUACCUAUGAUGAAAAUUACAGGCCUCUCUCAUCUUUUUAAGUGGGAGAACUUGCACAAUUGGUGGCUGCCUAAAUACUUUUUUGCCCCACUGUGUAUAUAGAUAUUACACACAAACAUCAUUACAUACAGUGCAUACAUCUCCAGUACAUAGCUACAGUUGAAGUCGGAAGUUUAGAUACACCUUAGUCAAAUACAUUUAAACUCUGUUUUUCACAAUUCCUGACAUUUAAUCAGAGUAAAAAUUCUCUGUUUUAGGUCAGUUAGGAUCACCACUUUAUUUUAAGAAUGUGAAAUGUCAAUAAUAGUAGAGAGAAUUAUUUAUUUCAGCUUUUAAUUCUUUUAUCACAUUCCCAGUGGGUCAGAAGUUUACAUGCACUCAAUUAUUAUUUGGUAGCAUUGCCUUUAAAUUGUUUAACUUGGGUCAAACGUUUCAGGUAUCCUUCCACAAGCUUCCCACAAUAGGUUGGGAGAAUCUUGGCCCAUUCCUCCUGACAGAGCUGGUGUAACUGAGUCAGGUUUGUAGGCCUACUUGCUCGCACACGGUUUUUCAGUUCUGCCAACACAUUUUCUAUAGGAUUGAGGCCAGGGCUUUGUGAUGGCCACUCCAAUACCUUGACUUUGUUGUCCUUAGCCAUUUUUUCCACAACUUUGGAAGUAUGCUUGGGGUCAUUGUCCAUUUGGAAGACCCAUUUGCGAUCAAGCUUUAACUUCCUGACUGAUGUCUUGAGAUGUUGCUUCAAUAUAUCCACAUAAUUUUCCUCCCUCAUGAUGCAAUCUAUUUUGUGAAGUGCACCAGUCCCUCCUGCAGCAAAGCACCCCCACAACAUGAUGCUGCCACCCCUGUGCUUCACGGUUGCGAUGGUGUUCUUCGGCUUGCAAGCCUCCCCUUUCCCUCCAAACAUGACAGUGGUCAUUAUGGCCAAACAGUUCUAUUUUUGUUUCAUCAGACCAGAGGACAUUUCUCCAAAAAGUACAAUCUUUGUCCCCAUGUGCAGUUGCAUAGCGUAGUCUGACUUUUUUAAUGGCGGUUUUGGAGCAGUGGCUUCUUCCUUGCUCAGCUGCCUUUCAGGUUAUGUCGAUAUAGGACUUGUUUUACUGUGGAUAUAGAUACUUUUGUACCUGUUCCCUCCAGCAUCUUCACAAGGUCCUUUGCGGUUGUUCUGGGAUUGAUCUUCACUUUUCGCACCAAAGUACGUUCAUCUCUAGGAGACAGAACGCGUCUCCUUCCUGAGCAAUAUGAUGGCUGUGUGGUCCCAUGGUGUUUAUUCUUGCGUACUAUUGUUUGUACAGAUGAACGUGGUACCUUCAGGUGUUGGGAAAUUGCUUCUGAGGAUGAACCAGACUUGUGGAGGUCUACCAUUUUUUCUGAGGUCUUGGCUGAUUUCUUUUUAUUUUCCCAUGAUGUCAAGCAAAGAGGCACUGAGCUUGAAAGUAGGCCUUGAAAUACAUCCACAGGUACACCUCCAAUUGUCUCAAAUGAUGUCAAUUAGCCUAUCAGAAGCUGUAACGACUGUUUGAAGAAGUGGACCGGAGGGAGACACCGGACAGGAUAGAAACUCCGGCAGUUCCGGACAGGAGGGAGAC
ensembl:lncRNA